UACGUAGGGUGCGAGCGUUAAUCGGAAUUACUGGGCGUAAAGCGUGCGCAGGCGGUUAUGUAAGACAGAUGUGAAAUCCCCGGGCUUAACCUGGGAACUGCAUUUGUGACUGCACGGCUAGAGUGCGGCAGAGGGGAUGGAAUUCCGCGUGUAGCAGUGAAAUGCGUAGAUAUGCGGAGGAACACCGAUGGCGAAGGCAAUCCCCUGGGCCUGCACUGACGCUCGAUGCACGAAAGCCGUGGGGAGCAAACAGG
rnacentral:rRNA from 1 species